GUGGGGAAUAUUGGACAAUGGGGGGAACCCUGAUCCAGCCAUGCCGCGUGUGUGAAGAAGGCCUUUUGGUUGUAAAGCACUUUAAGCGAGGAGGAGGCUACCGAGAUUAAUACUCUUGGAUAGUGGACGUUACUCGCAGAAUAAGCACCGGCUAACUCUGUGCCAGCAGCCGCGGUAAUACAGAGGGUCCAAGCGUUAAUCGGAUUUACUGGGCGUAAAGCGCGCGUAGGUGGCCAAUUAAGUCAAAUGUGAAAUCCCCGAGCUUAACUUGGGAAUUGCAUUCGAUACUGGUUGGCUAGAGUAUGGGAGAGGAUGGUAGAAUUCCAGGUGUAGCGGUGAAAUGCGUAGAGAUCUGGAGGAAUACCGAUGGCGAAGGCAGCCAUCUGGCCUAAUACUGACACUGAGGUGCGAAAGCGUGGGGAGCAAACAGGAUUAGAUACCCGUGUAGUCC
rnacentral:rRNA from 1 species